AUGUGCACAGCGUGCAGGUUUGUUACAUAUGUAUACAUGUGCCAUGUUGGUGUGCUGCACCCAUUAACUCGUCAUUUAGCAUUAGGUAUAUCUCCUAAUGCUAUCCCUCCCCCCUCCCCCCACCCCACAACAGUCCCCGGUGUGUGAUGUUCCCCUUCCUGUGUCCAUGUGUUCUCAUGGUUCAAUUCCCACCCAUGAGUGAGAACAUGCGGUGUGUGUUUUUUUGUCCUUGUGAUAGUUUGCUGAGAAUGAUGGUUUCCAGUUUCAUCCAUGUCCCUACAAAGGACAUGAACUCAUCAUUUUUUUUGGCUGCAUAGUAUUUCAUGGUGUAUAUGUGCCACAUAUUUUUAAUCCAGUCUAUCAUUGCUGGACAUUUGGGUUGGUUCCAAGUCUUUGCUAUUGUGAACAGUGCCGCAAUAAAUAUACGUGUGCAGGUGUCUUUAUAGCAGCAUGAUUUAUAAUCCUUUGGGUAUAUACCCAGUAAUGGGAUGGCUGGGUCAAAUGGUAUUUCUAGUUCCAGAUCCCUGAGGAAUCGCCACACUGACUUCCAUAAUGGUGGAACUAGUUGACAGUCCCACCAACAGUGUUAAAGUGUUCCUAUUUCUCCACAUCCUCUCCAGCACUUGUUGUUCCCUGACUUUUUAAUGAUCGCCAUUCUAACUGGUGUGAGAUGGUAUCUCAUUGUGGUUUUGAUUUGCAUUUCUCUGAUGGCCAGUGAUGUUGAGCAUUUUUUCAUGUGUUUUUUGGCUGCAUAAAUGUCUUCUUUUGAGAAGUGUCUGUUCAUAUCCUUUGCCCACUUUUUGAUGGGGUUGUUUGUUUUUUUCUUGUAAAUUUGUUUGAGUUCAUUGUAGUGCCUUUGAGGCACUCAGCAAUUUUUUUUUAAUGUCCCCAGGCUGGAGUGUAGUGGUGUAGUCAUAGCUCACUGCCACCUCAAACUCCCAAGCUCAAGCAAUCCUCCUGUCUCAGCCUCCCAAAUAGCUGAGACUACUGGCACAUGCUACCAUGCCUGGCUAAUUUUUAAAUUUUUUGUAGAAGUGGGGUCUCAUUCUGUUGCCCAGGCUGCUCUCAAACUCCCGACGUUAAACAAUCUUCCCACCUCAGUCUCUCAAAGUGCUGGGAUUACAUGCAUGAGCCACCAUGCCUGGCCUGAGGCAUUCAGCUUUUUAAAGUCAUUGAAGUCAUUCAGCUUUCUAAAGUGUCACAUAGCAGGUUGACAUAAGAACAGACCUCCAAAACCCUCCAGUGAUCCUGAACGUUGUCUCCUGCUGUGUGCUGUCACAUCUUAGCCUUAGCAUUCUGCCCUUGUUUUGAUUCUCCUGGCUCCUGCCCCUAGAUUCAUGUCACCUGGUCCUUUACCCUCACACUCAGCACAGCAUCAUUUUCCUCCUGUGACUUUAGACCUGCUUCACUUGAGAUAAUGUGGAUUUUCCUUCAUGCUGUGGUCUUUAGCUCCUUGCUUAACUAUCACACAAGCAGGUCCAUCAUGAAAAAAAUGAAACAAAACUGGAGAAGGAAAAGAGUGCAGACAAUCGGUUGUUAUUUACAUGGUGCCCCUUAGGGUCCUUCUUGGGUUUUAUUGCACCUUGCAGAAAAAGUUGUGCUUCUACUGUAGCAAACUGAGGUACUAUGCAUUGAUUUCACAGUCUACUUAGUUGAUUUCAUAAUUAGUUAAUUUCAUGUAUUUUUCUACUUUUCUAUCAGUCUGAAAAGUUAUAUGUUCCUUUCAUCUUCCACUCCUUUACCUCACUGAAACAAUAUGGCCUAGAACUUUCUGAUCAGUCAUUCUUCAGAUCAGAGCAUGGGGGAGCAAUGUGGGUGAUAAACACUCGGUAGUCGCUCAGGUAAUUAUCUCUAGUUCCUUUGGAGGGAUUAAAAAUUCAUUUCAGAGCUUCCUGUAUAUUUCUUAUAAUCAUAUUGAAUGAAUAUAAUUCUUAUGACAGUUGUAAGUGUAAUCAUUGUCAACUAAUACUUUUAUUGUCUACUUAAAGUCUUGAGUUUUUUUUUAAUUGCUAUGAUAAUUAUUAUAUGUAAUGUCUGGAUCCUACAGACCCUACCUCAACAAUUAUAAUUAAAAAUGCUAAAGUCUCGAGUAAGCAAAACCAGGAAAAUAGCCUUCACGUAGAUUUCGUAUCUUAGUACUUUGUAUUUCUGUCUGUCUGAGAGAACUACACAUUACUAAAAUAGAGGUAAAAAAUAUAAAAAAAGAAGUGACCAUACAAUUACAGAAGGUGGUAUUAAUAUCAGGGAGGAGGCCUGAUACAGUGAAGGCCAGAAAAAUUAAAGGUCAAGAAGAACCAUCUAAUAUAUCAUUUGGUCGAGUUUUGAGCAUAAUGGAAAUGGCUUAUCCUUUAAGAACUCUGAUUCUGUCCGAUUUUUGCUUUCAGUUGUUUCUGAGCUCUACCAUGUGCUCUUCCUCUGCCCUGAGUGUAGCUUAGUUAGGCUACAGAGAGUGUAGAAUAAGCUGUGACUGCAAACUAUGUGGUAAAUCUUUGACAGAAUCAGUCUUAAGCUUUUCUGUUAACUGUUUUUUAUAGGUGGUUAUGUUGUUGUUAAUCUGCAAUAAACAUUAUUCUUGACAUAGACAUAUGGGUUUUGCUUAUUUUAUAUAUGUGUGCAAAGUUAACUUCAGUUUCAUCCUCCCUCCUUUCCUCCCUCCCUUCCCCCUCCCCUCCCUCCCUCCCUUCCUCCCUCCCUCCCUUCCUCCCUCCCUUCCUACCUUCGUCCUUCCUUCCUUCCUUCCUUCCUCUCUUCCUUCCUUCUCCCAUUCUUCUUAUUUUUUCUCUUCUGCACAUUUUGCUGGAGAAUCUGUUCAUGUACCCUGCUUUCCCACAGUUGCUUUCAGACUUUUUUUUUUUUGAGACAGCGUCUCUCUCUUUCUCUCUCUGUUACCCAGACUCAAGUGCAGUGAUACUGUCUCAGCUCACUACAGCCUCAACCUCCUAAGCUCAAGUGAUCCUCCUACUUCAGCCUCCCAAGUAGCUGAGACUACAUGCACAUACCACCACACCUGGCUAAUUUUUAAAUUUUUUGUAGAGAUGAGGUCUCACUAUACUGCCUCAGCUGGUCUCGAACUCCUGGGCUCAAGGGAUCCUCCUGCCUCUGCCUCACAGUUGUGAGCCACUGUGCCUGGCCAUUUUCAGACUUUAGAAAAUGAUUUUCAUUUACUUUUUCCUGGGAAGGCUCUUGGGUACAAUGUUAUGUGUUAUUUAAAUCUAAACAGCAAACUGGCCAGCAUUGCCCCUUAGAGUUUCCUCUAUGGGGAGGUCAUGGAUCCCCUACUUGAACUCCUCUGUAGCAGGCACAGCAGCGAGUGCCUAAGGGUGCAGAGCUGGGGGCCCCAUGGCUUUCCUAGCUCCCUUUCUUGUUCCUAGUGUUUUAAAUUACACUUUUAUUCCAAGGAAGGGCCCUGAUUCCAACCACAUGAAGUAACUAUAUUGGAAAGCCCUGUGGACUCCAAAGCACUGUAAUUAAAGAGCAAGGGAUUCCUUUUCAGAUAAUUGAAAGGUGGUGGCAGAGACCCAGGAGUUAAAUACUUUUAGGCCAUGUUUGCAUGUAGAUUUUCCUCUUUAAACCUGUGCUUUUUGCCUGUGAACACUAUUUUCCUGGACAUCCAACAGCAAUUUUUGUAAGAGUUUGAAACAGUAGGUUUGCCUUCACCUGAGCACCUCUGCAGGCCAUUGACAGAUCCCA
rnacentral:lncRNA from 1 species